rnacentral:rRNA from 1 species
GACGAACGCUGGCGGCGUGCUUAACACAUGCAAGUCGAACGGAAAGGCCCUGCUUUUGUGGGGUGCUCGAGUGGCGAACGGGUGAGUAACACGUGAGUAACCUGCCCUUGACUUUGGGAUAACUUCAGGAAACUGGGGCUAAUACCGGAUAGGAGCUCCUGCUGCAUGGUGGGGGUUGGAAAGUUUCGGCGGUUGGGGAUGGACUCGCGGCUUAUCAGCUUGUUGGUGGGGUAGUGGCUUACCAAGGCUUUGACGGGUAGCCGGCCUGAGAGGGUGACCGGCCACAUUGGGACUGAGGUACGGCCCAGAAUCCUACGGGGGGCAGCAGGGGGGAAUAUUGCACAAUGGGCGGAAGCCUGAUGCAGCAACGCCGCGUGCGGGAUGACGGCCUUCGGGUUGUAAACCGCUUUCGCCUGUGACGAAGCGGGAGGGACGGUAAUGGGUAAAGAAGCACCGGCUAACUACGUG